rnacentral:snRNA from 1 species
AUACAUUUCUCCACCUUUUGGUUAAGAUAAAGUGCAAUGUUUAUUUUUAUCAGUUUAAUAUCUGAUACGUGGACCAUUGUUCACUUUAAUAUUAAUUUUUUUAGGUAUU